rnacentral:lncRNA from 1 species
GUUAAGCAAAGUGGACAUGAGGGAGUUGAGGGUAGAGCAAGUUUUAGCCCAAUUGAUGAACCAUAGCAAUGGCUAUCAAUCACUUCAAAGAUCUUGGAGACCUGCACUUCAAAGUAUCCCUGAAGUGGAUUAAGCUUCAUUUAGAUUAAUUUAGGUGUAUGAAGUUGAGGAAGAUGAGUAUUGGCCUAUUAAAUUAGGUCAAUCUUUCUUUUUCCUUUCGUUGGAAAAAUUGGAUUGUCCAUUUGAGGUGGUUUAUGGCAUGUGUCCCCUUAGUGCACCAGACCUAACCCCUUGUUCUAGGUCUAAAAAAUAAGAGUAGUGAUAUUUGAACAACCAUUUUAAACAACUUUUGUGACAACUUCUUUUUUCUCACUUUUCAUUGGUCAAAAACAAUGGAGAAAGAAAAAAGAAGAGAGAGUAUAAAAAUAUAAAGUGAGUAUGAGAGAGAAAGUUGUCAAGAAGUUGUCACAAAGUGGUUGUACAAAUAUCAUUUCUCAAAAAAUAAAGCGUAGAUGUUCAACAGAAUGGAGAAACAGACAUUCAAAGGAGAAUUGAGAAACAAAAUUCAAAGUAUAAGACUCAUGAGACAGACAUUGCAAGUGACAUUCAUUCAAAGUAUAUGACUCAUGAGACAGACUUUGAAGAUGAGGAAAAUCUUGACUUAAAGACGAGUCUCUUCCAAUCAGGGGAGAACGAUUAAGAAUAAUACGGACUUUUCAAGAAAUAUAAAAACUUAAUUAUGGGACUUUCAAGUAACACCACUAGAUGAAUACAUGAUAAUAGUUAACAUGGUCUAUCACCCUAGAUGAAUACUUUCAAGUAACCCUGGGUCAAAUCUUUUAGCCAUUCAAAUUCUUGCUAACCCCGUCUACCAUAUAUGCUUCUUGUAGCAAUUUUCAUUAUGUUCCUGGAUGUACUAGGGAUUUUAUUUACAUUGAUUGUACUUAACAUGGUUAAACUUAAAAAAUGUUUAUGUUAAUACAUAGAAUUUAGAUUUUUGAAUUUAACAUAUAUAUGUUUUAUAGAUCUAUUAUUCAGAUGGAUUAUUAUCAAAUUGCAGACUUUUUUUUUUCUCCUUUUGAAAACCCUAAUGUUGAGUUUAUAUGUAGACAACUCAACGAGGUUGUCCAUACUUUGGAAAACUUGGUUCCUAAACUAACAUUUGUUAUUUUAGAGUCAUAAUAGAUCUAUAAAACAUAUAUUUGCAAGUCCCCUUGUUUUAUAUAAUGUUGCAAUUUAUAUUUUCACGUACUCUUGAGCAAAUUUACAUAUUUAUACAAAUAUUCAAUAAUGUAUACAACAUUUUAGAUUAUCUUGAAAAAGUUUACUAUAUAUAUAAUUUAAUGUUAGAUAUUUGCUCUGUGAAAUUAAAUAUGUUAUUUUGGAAAAUAUAUUUUGUACAUUGAAAUGAAGUUUUGUAACUGGAGCGCAAAUAGUUGAUGUGCAACUCGUGGGUGUUAUAAACAUCGAAUUGCGGCUAUGUCUGUAGCCUGUAGGCAGUCAAGUAAAAUAUGGCAAUUCAAAAUAGAAACAUUGACUAAUAAAGGAAACAUUCAAUUCAAAAAAUGUUUUGGCACAAAAUUUGAACCUUUUUUUUUUUAAGAAAGCAAGAACAAAUUGUUUAAAUUGUUAGUUGAUAAAAUUAAACAGUUGUCUUGGUUUAGUUUAUACGUUGGAAAUAAGUAAAUAAUUGAUUUUUUUUCUUCAAAUUUCUGGAAUAUUUGACUAUUUGCCAUAAAUCAUAUCACUACCCUAUUAAAUUAACCUUUAAAUAAUAUUUUUAACCGUGAUACUAGUCCUUAUAAGUUAAUAAAAAGACUAAAUUGUCUGAUGUUAAUCAAAAUUAGAGCUUUUUUUCUUACCAAAAAAUUAGAGCUUUUUUUCUCUAUUCACAAAUAUAAAGGGAGUAAAUGUCCAACCCUAUUCACAAAAUUUGAUCACUCUAUCAUUUCAUAUUUGAGUGUUGUUGUUUUUGUUAUUAGCAUUCAAAUAGGCACUCCAUGUGCAAUGGCAGAGCCAGGAUUAUUGUAAAGUCCGGGCAAAAAAAAAUUGCAACGCAUUUAUAGGAGUUUACAUAAGAAAUUGCAAGCAAAUAAUAAAAAAAUCUAAAGAAAUUUCCCAAUUUAUAGGGGUUUAUAUAAGAAAUUCAUAGGGAUUUACAUAAGAAAUUAAAAAAAUUUGGGCCGGAGCCCGGGCAAGUGCCCGGGGUCGCCGGCCAUAGAACCGCCCAUAUCCAUGUGUUUGUCCGCUCUUUUUAUUGCGUUAAUAGUAUGAACAAUAAUUAUUAUGUAAAUUUUGGUUUUGAUUAGAAAAUUUGUAUAAAUAUUUUGCACUUUUAUAUUUUGCACGUUCCUAAUUUCUAACUGUUGCAUGCAUUUUCCCAACCUUGACAUGGUGACAAAGUUAUUGUUGAUGAUCUAUUUAUAGAGUGAACAAAUUUUUACAAAAAAAAUAAUAUUAAAAUGUCAAAGUUACAUUGUAUAUGAACGCUCUGUAGUGUCAAUGUAACACUACCAAAAAAAAUUAACAUUAAAAGGAUGCAUUUUUAUUGAAUAGAUGAAUUUUGGAUGCAUAAUUUGUAUAUUUGGGAGAGAAAAGGUGAAUUUCGAAUUUUAAAUCCUAUUGAAUCUCAUCUUAUAAAAGCUCGUUAAAUGUCAUUUAUGACACAAUUAUGGAUGAUAAAAUGUUGUUGUGAUAUGAGAGAAGAAGGGAACAAGAUUUGUUUGUUAUUAUUAUGUAUUUUUAUUAAAUAAUAUUUUAUUUUUUUUUAAUUUAAAAUCUCAACCGUUAGAUACUUUUUUACCACACGUCUUUCAUCCAAACUCUAAAUGGAGUUUAGCCUAAAUGAAGCAUACUCGAACUCCCUUCAUAUAUUAUGAUGGAAUUCUGCUAUGGGUAACAACUGAGUUAUUUAGUAAGAAGUGAUGUUAGUCAUCAUGUAUUGUCAUGACAUGGGAGUUGUCCACAAAGUUACCAAGUCUGAGAAGUUGAAGGUUCCAAGAAUUGAAGAGGUAGUUGUGGGUUACGUUUUUGCAGUGGCGGAUCUUGAGUAAUUUUAUUGGGGGUGCCAAACCACCAUGAAAUAUAUCUAAAUCAGUUUCAAAAAAUAGAUAAAAAUAAUCACCUGCCGUAGUGGUUUAUAUCGUUUGAAAGCAUCAAGCGGAUGCAGGUUCGAAUCCCUGCUAACGGUUUUUUUGAAUAAAAAAUGUAAAUUCGAGAGAAAAAUGUCAAAAAAGAUGGCGCGAGUGUCGAACUCGCGACCGCUGGGGGGACCAUACAACUAGCUUACCGCUGUGACGAAUGAAAACUUGCUGAAAUAUUAUGCAUAAUAUGGUAUAUAUUAAAAACCCAGGGGAUGCCAUGGCACCCAUGGAUCUGUACUAAGAUCCGCCACUGCGUUUUUGCUAGCAACAAUACGUGUGAUUGUCAUACCCCAUUUUUUAACUUAAAUACCACUGACACGUACCUUGAUCUUGAAUAGUCUCUAAUUUUUGAAAGAAAAAUUCGACAGAGAAGUAUUUUAAAAUACCUCAUUUUUGUUCGGGCUCCCUUCUCACUUUUAUUAUUAUUAUUAGUCCUUUUAACUUUUUAUUUUAAUUCAUUUCCAUCUUUUUUUAUUAUUAUUCAUUAUCUUUAUUUUAUUUCACCUUUUUUUUAUUUAAUUUUAGUUUAUUCGUAUUUAUCUUUUUUUAUUUAUUUUUAUUUCCAAAACAGUCCAAAUCCAAAAAAUAUAGAUGUUUAUCUUUUUUAUUUAUUUAUUUUUAGAGGGGGAAUAUUUUGAUUCCGAAAGUAAGUUUGUUUACUUACUCCAAAUCUUGGAUUUUAAUUGUAUUGUCAAUUAAAGGUUUAGAUUGAUUAAUAAUAAAUGGUAUGGUAGACUAUAAUUUUCUUCUCUAAUGGGGAGUUACCUCUCAUUACCCCAAAAAUGACAAAACAAUUAAUGACUUUGAAUGGAUUGUUUUUUUUUUUUUUUUAUUGUUCUCUCUUUGCAUUUUUUUUACACGCAUAAUAAACUGCUUGGUCUUUCUUUUUGAAGGAAAAAAAAUUGUAUUUUUUUAGCAAAAAAAAAUGUAUAUUUUUCUGUAAGAAAAACGAAAAAUAAAGUUGUAUAUAGUUGUGUAGAGGAAAAAAAAACUACCACAUAUGGAUAAGAGGACAUAUAUUGUUUGCUUUCUUCAUUGUAUAUAUAAAAAAAAAUAUCACAUGUUUUCUUCACUACAAAAUUUAGGAUUAUCAGAAAUAUGUGUGUUUACGAAAUGAUAUUGAUACAUACAAUUACAUUAUAUUAAUUUAUUUAUUUCAAAUUAUUAGCACUAAGGACUUGUAUGUAUCCCCCCUCUCUUUAUAUAGUUUUUAUUUUUCCUUUAAAAAAAUACACUUUUUUUCCUUCAAAAAGAAAAACUAUGCAGUUUAUCAUGCGUGUUGAAAAAAAAAGCAAAGGGAAAAGAAUAAAAAAAAAAUCAAUUCAAAGUCAUUGAAUGUUUUGCCAUUUUAAGGUGAUGAAAGUUAAUUUCAAUAGAGAAGAAAAUUAUAGUCUACCAUACCACUUAUUAAUCAAUCCAAGCCAUUAAUUGAAAAUACAAUUAAAGACUAAGAUUUGGAGUAAGUGAACAAACUUACUCUUGAAGUCAAAAUAUUUCCCCUCUUAUUUUUUAUUUAUUUAUAUUAUUAGAUGAUAAGUCCAAAACAGUUCAAAUCCAAAAAUAUGCGACAGACGCACUUUCCUCCUCCCCAAGUCAAGGCAUACAGUUUUCUUUGUUUCUUUUAAACAAACCCUAAUCCCAAUCCUAUAAAAAGCAACCUGCAACAACACAAUUGGACAACCAGAAAACACACAAUUUUACCCAACAACACAAUUUUCACUGGCACAAAUAUUCCAAAAAACAUAAAACCCUAGCCACUGACGACCGCAAUUUUUCCCUAGCUUUUUCAGUUUCAGUUUUAUUUCUAGAGAACCCUAGCCACCGUCCACUUUUAGAAUUUCAGAAACCUAGCAACCGUAAUUUGCAUUAUAGUUUUGAACCGUACUUUCUAUUGAAUUCCGAAUUCAAUUCUAGUUUUCUCUUUUAUUUCGUUUGAUUCCUGCCGAACUGUUGGGCGGUUUCACAUGUCAACUCUGUGAUUGCCGUAUUCCAAUUCCACUUAUGAUUUUCAAUUCUAAUUUAUAUUAUUUUCAAUUUGCUUGCUGCUAUAUUAUUAUUAUAUAAUUCCAAACUCUAAUUUCCCUUUGUUUUUUCCUUUUCAUUCACGCUGCCAUUGCUAAUGCCAUAUAUCUAGUUUUGCUCGUAUUAUUAAUUACUGUUGCUGGCUUUUUGAUUAAAUUUCAAUUGCUAAGAAUUCAACACAGCCGUACCACAUAUACACACACACUACUGCGUGUGCAUUUAGAAAGCAACUACAUGGUCUCAUUCAGUUAAAGCCCAAAAACAAAUGUCAAGCCCUAACCCUAAACAAGCCUAUAAAUCUCAUACCCGAAACUAUAAUUUCCUUCACUGGUAGCGCCGUAGUUCUACAUUGCAGUGCUAUCUCAUGUCUUGAUGUUCCUAUUUUUAUGUUCUAAUUUGUGGUGCUAGGGUGUUAUCUUUUUUUUUUCUUUCUAUUGAAGAAGCAUGGUUUUUGCUUUAUACAUAACCCAGUGAUGUGAUCUCCCGAAAAUUGAUUUGAUACAGUAUGCAUGAUUUAUAAUCUGUGAUGAUUCAAGAAUGGAAUAUCCCAAUACACAACAGAUUGGUACUAGUUUGUUGGUUGACCGGAUUGAUUUCUUGUUCGGAACUGGAUUGUAUUUGUGAUUUGAAACGGGUCUCUUUGAGGGUAUUUCUCUUUUAUGAUGCUUUACAGAAUAUAAUUUAGGGUUAUGACUACUAUAUGUCACACCUUUGACAAAGUUUUGUUUCCUUGCUAUCUCGUGUCUUGAUAUUCCUAUUUUUAUGUUCUAAUUUGUGGUGCUAGGGUGUUUGCUUUUUUUUUUUUUCUUUUCUUUCUUUCGAAGAAGCAUGGUUUUUGCUUUAUACAUAACCCAGGGAUGAGAUCUCCCGAAAAUUGAUUUGAUACAGUAUGCAUGAUUUAUAAUCUGUGAUGAUUCAAGAAUGGAAUAUCCCAAUACACAACAGAUUGGUACUAGUUUGUUGGUUGACCGGAUUGAUUUCUUGUUCGGAACUGGAUUGUAUUUGUGAUUUGAAAUGGGUCUCUCUGAGGGUAUUUCUCUUUUAUGAUGCUUUACAGAAUAUAAUUUAGGGUUAUGACUACUAUAUGUCACAACUUUGACAAAGUUUUGUUUCCUUGCUAUCUCGUGUCUUGAUAUUCCUAUUUUUAUGUUCUAAUUUGUGGUGCUAGGGUGUUUGCUUUUUUUUUUUUUUUUUUCUUUCUUUCGAAGAAGCAUGGUUUUUGCUUUAUACAUAACCCAGGGAUGAGAUCUCCCGAAAAUUGAUUUGAUACCGUAUGCAUGAUUUAUAAUCGGUGACGAUUCAAGAAUGGAAUAUCCCAAUACACAACAGAUUGGUACUAGUUUGUUGGUUGAUCGGAUUGAUUUCUUGUUCGGAACUGGAUUGUAUUUGUGAUUUGAAACGGGUCUCUCUGAGGGUAUUUCUCUUUUAUGAUGCUUUACUGAAUAUAAUUUAGGGUUAUGACUACUAUAUGUCACACCUUUGACAAAGUUUUGUUUCCUUGCUAUCUCGUGUCUUGAUAUUCCUAUUUUUAUGUUCUAAUUUGUGGUGCUAGGGUGUUUGCUUUUUUUUUUUUCUUUUUCUUUCUUUCGAAGAAGCAUGGUUUUUGUUUUAUACAUAACCCAGUGAUGAGAUCUCCCGAAAAUUGAUUUGAUACCGUAUGCAUGAUUUAUAAUCGGUGACGAUUCAAGAAUGGAAUAUCCCAAUACACAACAGAUUGGUACUAGUUUGUUGGUAGAUCGGAUUGAUUUCUUGUUCGGAACUGGAUUGUAUAUGUGAUUUGAAAUGGGUCUCUCUGAGGGUAUUUCUCUUUUAUGAUGCUUUACUGAAUAUAAUUUAGGGUUAUGACUACUAUAGUCACACCUUGGACAAAUUUUUAUCUCAUUUGUGUAUAGACCAAAAAAAUUGUAAUAUUAACAGUAGUAGAUGUCACACCUUUGGACAAAUUUGUUACCUUGUUACCUUGCAGUGCUAUAUAUCUCGUGUUUUUAUGUUCUAAUUUGAGUUGCUAAGUUUUUUUUUUUGUUUUUUUUGAAGAAGCAGGUUUUUGCUUUUUACAUAACCCAUUAAUGAGAUAUCCCAAAAAUUGAUUGGAUGCCGUAUGCAUGAUUUAUAUGAUUUAUAAUCGGUGACGAUUCAAGAAUGGAUAUCCCAAUACACAACAAAUUGAUACUCGUUUGUUGUUUUAUCGGAUAAAUUUCUUGUUUGGAACUAUAUUGACAUAGGAGGACUAGUUUGCCCUUAUAGUUGAGGGGUUAACACUACCGUAGUUGACAUAGGAUGUGUCAUUUGAAUUAAACUUGUUUGAUUUACUUAAAUAUAGGGUUUUAGCUACGCAUUUUAUAUUUUCAAUGAUACACAAUGUAAUUGUUUUUUGAAGAGAUAUAUAAUGUAUUUGUUCUUUUCAUCAUCAAUAAAUUUUACCUUGGUUUUUUUUUCUUUCUUUUUUCUUCUGUUUCUGCAUGUUAUGUUCACGCCAACUAACAACCUUAUGCCGUUCCUAUAAAUUGGUGAUACCAUUUGGUCGGUUUGGCCAUUGUCUCAAGUUAGUGCACCUGCAUACAAAAUUUCAGUUGAGAACAUUUGAUAUCUUGAACUCUUUUUAAGCACAUCCAUGACAACCAAAGGUCUGUAUUUCCCUCAACCAAUUUUUUCACAUGGACAGUUAUAUGUUGCAUUGUCAAGAGUUACAUCAAGGAAAUUGAAGAUAUUGAUUUUUGAUGAUGAAGGGGAAGAUAGCUAUGUCAAGUGUAGUUUACAAAGAAAACUUUCAAACUGUACUUUGAUUUUUUGUUCAACUGUUGACUUUCUUAUAAAAAAAAAUCCAUGUAUGUCACAUUGAUCAAUGAUACAUGAUAUUUUAGAAUAGUUUAUUUUUCAAUUUGCUUGAGUUGAUUGUAAUCAAAAUAUAUUGAACAAUAAUCUAUAAAGAAGAGUCUAGUUACACCUAAAACUGUUGGCUGUAGAUUGACUACAAAUUAGCUACUGAAUAUGUAACUUUUGAAGUGUUAUAAAUAAAACUCUCAAGUGUUACUGAAAUUAUUUGGUAACAUGGCCUUUACCAAAUAUUUAUCAAAUAUUAAUACUAAAUCUAAAUAGUAACAGUUUUUUUUAUAUUUACUUACAUUUUUCAAGUGUUACUAAGUCUCAUAUGUUCUAGUGUUUGUGCAUCUUAUAUAAAGAUAAGGAAAUUAUUUUUGGGUGAGAUAUGUGCACGUGACUGUGAAUGACUAAUGGCCAAAUAGUAUCUUCACUCAAAGAUCCCUUUCGAUGUUGUUCACACGAAUGGAUCUAUUUCAUGUCUUGAGAUUCUUAAUUAGACCCUUUUCACACACGUAACGUAACCAUUUGACACUGUUUCCACUAAAAACUCUUGAAGAGUUGAGUACCGACAGCAAAAUGUCUUUUGUUAAAAUAUUAAUUCCAUAGAGAUAGAUUAUAAAUUCCAAAAAAAAAAGACAGCAAAAUGUCAAAUUAAAAGCUCAUGCUAUAUGUGGAAAAUGUGUACUCUCUUCGGCCUUCAUGUAUUAAUAUUAAUUAUAGAUAACAUUUAUAUUUAAUAAAUCUAAACUAGAAAAAUUGUUUACAAUGAAGACCGGAGGGAGGAGUAGUACUACAUAUGACAUUUUUUUUUAACCAUUUUUUAUUGACGGAUUUCUACCCCUCUAAAAUUGAUUUUUCUAGCAGUGUAAAGUGUUUUACACAACUAAACCUCAGAGUUAACCAUUUUUUUUUGUAAUAAAUUUCAAUUAAAGACAUAUUAGGAUGAAUCCGAACUCAUAUAUUAACUAGAUUAUUUUUUAAGACAUUAGGAUGAAUCCGAACUCAAAUUCUAACUAGAUUAUUUUCUUUUACGAAACUUUGCUUAUAUCUUGAUUGAAUUUCAAAGAAGUCAUUAAACAUAAUAUGAGAAAAAUUAGUAUUGAAUUCUGCAAUUGGUUUUGAAUACGAAGCACGAAUAUGGACACGGAUACCGGAUACGACAUCGAUACAAUUAAAUUUUUUUAAAAAAAUCACAUAAUUCAGUGUAAUAUAUGCGUCGGUGUCGGACACACACGUGUCUGACACACAGACACGCGUUAUCUCAAAAGUGUCUGUGUUUCAUAACUUUUGAUGGCACAAUUUUGUACAAACUAGUAUACAAACUAACACACCAAUUUGUGCAUCAUCCACACGCAUACUACACUACUAUUACUACACCUUUCCGUGGUGAGUUUAUCACUAGAGUUCAUUCAAAGUGUUUGGACUAAAAUGAUAUGACCAUCAUUAUCAUCAGACAAAAACCAAAAAACAGCUACCAUUUUUAGCAUGGGCUCCACUCUCCCACUAAUUUUCAAGAAAUUAAAUAAAGGAAACAACCACCUUACCUCCAAAUAAAUGAAGUAUUGACUUAUUCUCCAUUCCAUGCAUCUUCAUUUUUUCUCUCCUAUAUAUCACCCAACUCUCUCCAAUCUUUAAAAGAAAUCACUCUCUCUCUCUCUCUCUCUUAAUCUCUCUACAUAAGCAAAACAGCACUCAAUUUUUUCUUUUUAGGCAAAAAAACACACUCAAUUAAACAGGUUUAAAUAUAAUUGCAAGACCAAAAAUGGGAAACUGCUUGAAGAAUCAAUCAUCAAUCAAAUAUGCGACCGAUGACGAUGAGUGGGAUUUCCAAGCAUCCGAAGGCGAUUACACGUCCAAAAGCAAUGGUGCCGCUGCCAAAACGACAACCGAGGUGAAGAUAAAGAUUACGAAGAAGCAGUUAGAAGAGUUGUUGAGCAAAGUUGACAUAAGGGAGUUGAGAGUGGAGCAAGUUUUAGCCCAAUUGAUGAACCAUAGUAAUGGCUACCAAUCACUUCAAAGAUCUUGGAGACCUGCACUUCAAAGCAUCCCUGAAGUUGAUUGAAGUUGAUGAAGAUUAGUAUUGACCAGUUGGGUCAAUCUUGCUUUUUGCUCUUUGAAAAAAAAAUAUAUUCAUGAUUCAAGAUGGGGUAUUUGAAAAAAAUACUGUCCAUUUGAGGUGGUUUAUGACAUUCGUGACAUUCGGCUUAUUCUAGUACUCAUCAAUAACACGCCUAUGCCAAAUCGAGUGAAAAGGAAAUUGCCAACAUAUCGAUGGUCGUAAACCAGAUAAAGCUAUUGUGGUGGUCAUGGUUUAUUUGUGGAGAAGGAAGAAAUAAGAAUCUCUAUUUUUUCAAAUUGGUGGAUUUGUUGGAAUUUUUGGCAUGGUUGGUGCUUUUAUCUUGUAUCAAAUGGUGUUGAAUUUAAAAGGAGUGUCUUGAACUGCAGUUGCAUCAAGUGUUGCAGGAUUUGAUGAUUUGAUCAUGCUCUAGUUUAUAUCUCUCUUUAGCAACUAUGCAUAUCUUGUGCUAGUGUGCUAUUAAUUUGUAGGACCGUGAGGAUAAUUUUACAUUUGGUUUAUUAGGAAAUUGUUCCUUUUACAAGUGUAUACUCAUACCAAGUCUUUACUAUGAAUGUUUGUAACUUAAGAUGUUGUCUUGUAAGUCUUAUUCAUUAAAAAGGUCCUUGCAAAAUUUUCUAUCUUUUAAUAAAGUCCUUGAAUUUUUGUCGACGUCGCAGUUGAUGAUUGUGCAACUUUUGCCACGUGGUGCUGACGUCUCAUUUCACUGAACAAAAAAUAAAAAUAAAAACAAUUUAAAAUUUCUGAAAAUUAAUUUUUGAAAUUAAAAAAUCUGGAAAUAAAUUUAAAAUUAAAAAGUAAGUUUCCGUAAAAAAAUCAGAAAAUAAAUUUUCGAAAAAAAAUCUGAAAGUAAUUUUUUGAAAGAAAAAUCUGAAAUUGUUUUUUCUAAAAUUAAAUUAAAAGCUUGGCUAACAUCUACAUUAAAGGCCAAAUUGCCACCAAAUGCUUUCUUAUCAAGACAAUUGAUUCCUUAAGAAGUCAAUAGGAUACAAUCUUUUAUGUUCCUUCCAUGAAUGAAACCUCUCUUCUCCUUUAUAAUCAGCAUAGAAAUUAUUUGCGCAAGUCUAUCAACAAUAAUAAUAUUAGAGAUUAUUUUGAAUUUAAAAUUUUCCAUUACUAUUGGUCUAAAUUGCUGCAAAAGAAUAUCAUUAUGACCGUUAUCUUGAAUUUGCUACUCUAUAUAUAUCUUACAACUAUGAUUCAGCUUCAUUUACCCUAUAUGUACAUUGCCAAACACAUCUUUAUUCCAAGCUUUAAUUAAGUUAACUUUCAACAAUUGAAGCUUCUUGUUUCGAAUGUACAUAGGAUUUCAACAAUGUUUGCAUUUCAAAUUGAAGAAAUUAUGUUUUUACAAUCAUUAUGAAGGCUCCACAUUUUCAUAAAUUUAAACUGAGAAUUGAAACUAUGAGCUCCUAAUUUAAAUUCUAGCGAAAUUGGGAAGUGGUCUGAUCUUGCCUUCAAAAGAGUUGAACAUCGAAUACAAGUGCACAUAUCUAACAAUUAUUGAUUUGUCUAGUUCUUAAAAUCUUCCAUGCUCAUGUUUCCACAUAAUUGUGUUAAUUAAAAUCUCCCAUAAAACUCUAGGAAAUUCUUACAUUCAACUGAAUAGCUAGAAAAAUACUCCAAAGAUCCCUUCUUUUAACAUAACAAAUGGAAGCAUACACAACAAGAAAUCCAAAAUGAGUUCACCUUAAAUAGAAUUAGAACAACUUUUAGAGAUCUUAUGUUUGCCCAACUUUUCUCACCUAUCAACAAAGGUUGUCUGCAAAUUGAAGAUGGGAUAUCAUAACUCCAUUAUCAUGUGCGCUAACCUUAUACCCAAAAAAUAGGCCUUCGACUACAAUGGCUUACAUCAUAACGUUCAGACUUUCUGCCACAAUUAAAAAAAGGAAAGGUGACAGUGGAUCCCCUUGACGCAGUCCUCGUUGAAAAGAGAACUAUAUAUGAUGUCGGGCUGCCAUUGAAAAGAAUAGAAGUUAUAGCGGCACUAAUACACUCCUUAAUCCACUUCAUAAUGUUGAAAAAUUCAUUUUAGACAAAACAACAUCCAAAAAAUUUAAUCCGCUAAGUCAAAAGCCUUCUCAAAAUCAACUUUAAAAUAAUUAGUUCUUUUUCUAACUUUCGUGCUUCGUCCACCAACUCGUUAAGAAUUUGACGACCCUAGAUGAAUAAUGAUUGCUCCUCAGAAAUAACCAAAUCGAUCACUACUUUGAAACGAUUAGCUAUAACUUUAGACAAAACCUUUUACAGACACCCAACUAAGGAAAUCGGUCGAAAAUCAUAUAAUCUUUGUGGACUAUCCACCUUAGGAAUAAGGGCAAUAAAAGUACUAUUGAUAUGAUCCUACUACUAAUUUACCAUUGCGCAGAAAACCUGUAAUGAAGCACAUCACAUCCUCUUUUAAUUCCCUCCAAAACUCUUUAAUAAAGCCAAAAUUAACACCAUUAGGACCUGGACUUUUGUAAUUGUCAACAAUCCCAUAUAACUUGUUUCACCUCUUCUAGGCUAGAUGGUUUUAUGAGAUCAUCGUCUUGAGGCAUAGUCAAAGAUUUGAAAGCAAGGUUAUCCACCCUUGGGCGCUCAAAAUUAACUUACUAAAAAUGAGAUUCAAAGUGAUUAAAUACCACUUCUCGAACAUUAGACAGCCCUUCCACUUGAAGACCGUUAACAGUUAUAGAGUUAAUUGCAUUUGACCGACGUUUAAAACAUAACACAACAUGAAAAAAGAAUUAUAUUAGCAUCACCCUCUUUCAACCAGCACAAUCUUGAAUUCUACCACUGCAUACUAGAAUUAAUUCUUGCCAAAGAGUGUAAAUAUACAGAUAGGGAGUGAAGCACCUCCACCUCAUCCAUGUCUUGAUUGAUAUCUUCCUUCUUUAAAUUUAAUGUUUAAUGCAAAAAUGCGUUCUUUCACUGAAGAAUCUAACUUCCAAUAUUUUUAGUAAGCUUGUGAUGCCAAUUUUUCAGAUUGCUUUUAAUGAACUUAAAUUUUUCUUCAAAAAAAAUGAACUUAAAUUUUUCUUUCAACGUAUAAACUCCCAAACUUAUAACUUGGAAAGAGUGUCAUUGCUCCUUAGCAAAUUGAUGGUAACCAGAAAGUUAUCCUAUUUAUUACUCCUUCCAUUUUAAAAUACGUGGGAGAUUGCCGUUGACACAUAUGAUAGGGUUAAAAAACACAUGUAAAAGACGAAAAUGCCUCUGCGACAGUUAACUACCGAAAUUUAAAAUUGGCAGCAGUUAACUGCCGAAGAACUCAUAAUUUUUUUCUUCAAGAUUCUCUUUCAAUUCCACACUUGAAAAUAUUAAAAAUUUACCAAAUAAACCUAACAUGGCUACUUAGCAUGAUCUUCUUCAAAAACUCCAAGUCACCGAACCAACUUCCUUUGCUGAGCAGGUAAUUUAACUUAAUUAAUAUAUAUCAAUUGUGACUUAAUUGGACUUGCUUAAUAUACGGCUAGUAAAUACUCCCUCCGUCCCAAAUUGUAUGAUAUUUUGGGCAUUUCACACGUAUUAAGAAAUGUAAUUAAUUUUGUGUGGGAAAGAGAUAUUAUGAGUUGUUUUACAAAAUUGUCCUUAAUAAAUGAUAUGAGAAAGAUAAAUGAAUAACUUGGAAGUAGGGAAGGCAAUAAAUAGUGAAGGAUAUAAUAGGAAAAGUAACAUUAAUGAUUCAUCGGUAUUGUAAAGCGACGUACAAUUUGGAACAAAUUUUUUUUCCAAAGUGACAUACAAUUUGGGACGGAUGGAGUAACAUUUAGAAACUCUAUAAAUUAAUAAUGUCGGGACCGGAGAAAUUUAUUAAUUUAGAGAGUUAUUAAUUUAUCGAUAAAUUAAUAAUUAUUAAUUUAAAGAGUUUUUAAGUAAUUAUACUGUACAUACCAAACAAAAAGGCAAAUUAGUCUAUGUCCCUUAGAAUUACAUUGCACCAGAUCUUGGGACUCAAUGUAAAUUAAUAAAUAUUGUAUUCAUAUCCAUUGGAAAUAUGACUUUUGACUUUUGAAGUGUAUAGUAAAUGUAAACAAGUGGAAUGUUCAAUGUAUUCUUAAGCAAGUUUGGCAUAUAUAAAUUACAUGAAUGUGUUAAAAGUAUUCAAAUCAUAUCUCACUCACGAGAUGGCUUCUCAUCUAAAAGGUGUUGCAAAAUCAACUAUGUCAGAUCAAAUACGUAGGGAGUUGUGCGAGUACAAGAGAGAUAAUCCUGCAAGCACACAAGACUUGCAGAGAUGGCUUGAGGGAAAAUUUCAGUUGAAAGUUAGUCAAGGAACAAUAACAAACACACUUAAGCGGUCAAAUGACUAUCUCUCUGCUGAAAUAGAAAAGGGAAGAGCGGAGAUCAAAAGACACAAACCAGCAAAAUAUCCUGACAUGGAGAAGGUUGUUUAUGAGUGGUUUCUACAGCAUCAAGAACGUGUGAAUAUCACAGGAGAAUUAAUUUUGCAGAAGGCAAGAGAUACAAUGAAUCAUAUUUCAACAAAGUGUAAUAUAUUUUUUUUCAGUUUCUAUGAAUUAUUAAUUUAUGAUUUUCUUGGGACCGAAAAUUAUAAAGGGAUCUUCCAAAAAAUUAUUAUCUUAUUAUUUUAUCGAAUUAUUCAAUUUUUUACACUGGCCCAAGUCGGGACCGGACAAAUUCAUUAUUUUAGAGAGUUUAUUAAUUUACCGAGGAUUAAUUUAAAGAGUUUCUACUGUAUAUGUUUUUUUUAUAGAUUUUUUGAAUAUGUAUUUCAAUGAUAAAUAUAAGCCUAUCCCUAAUGUUUACAAUCUUGUGCUGGCCAUGUUGUGGCGUCAUCCUGAGAAUGUUGAACUUGAGAAAGUCAAAGUUGUUCAUUACUGUGCAGCGGUAAGUUUUUAAUAUUUCGAAGUGUGGAAUUGAAAGAGAAUCUUGGAAAAAAAAAUUAUGAGUUCUUCAGCAUUUAAGUGCCGAAGUUAACUUUGGUAGUUAACUGCAGUCGGUAUCAAACUUCGAUAUUUAAUUGUCGCAUGAGCAUUUUCGUCUUUUACAUAUCUUUUUCAGCCCUAUCAUAUAUGUCAAUAACAAUUCUCAAAUACAUGUCGUAGUCAACCACAUCACACAUGCCAAUAUACAACUUUGUCUGUUAAUAUCUUUAAAUAUUGAUGGUAAAAAAUUGUAAAAUUUUAAUAUUUUAUAAAUAUUUAUUGAGACAAAUCAAACAACUUAUUAUAUAUUAACAUGUGUAUUUAUAUAUUAAUUAAAAAUAUGCUCAAAAUUAUAUAAAUAAUAUAUAGUAUAAAAAUACGAUAUGUAUUUUAAAACGGAAGGAGUAUCAUAAGAUUAGGUAACUGUCCAAUCAUAUUGAGGGCACAGUUGUUAAGAUAAUGGUCAAAAUUAAACAAAUCUAAUAAGAGCUAGCCAAAACAUAAUGAAUAAGAGAUAAACAUGAGCCCUUAAAAAAAAGAUAUCCCAACAUUUUCAUAUAUAGUGAAUAUAAUAGUGAUAGAUGCCAUCAAUAGUCAAUAGAGUGGUCCUCUCAAAACAAAUAGUCAAUAGUGCCACAUAAUAAAGUUAUAGAUGCCACAUAAUAUGUCACAUAAACAUGAGCCUAGAAUUUUCAUUGAAUUCACAUAUAAAGAGGAGUUAGAGUUGUCCCCAAUUACAUAUAUUGGUGUGAUCCUUCAAAAAUAAUAAAAAUUAUUGGUGGUGAUUGGUGAACACAUUCCGAAUUUCAUUCUUUGACUAGAGGAAAAAAUUGUGAACAUAAUUAUAUGCUUUAAAGCAAAUCUACAUGAUAAUUUUGGAUGGUAGUGUAAACUUUGUAGUGUGGCAACUAGUAGGGACUGCUUUGACAAGAGCAAAUUAGGAAUGCAUGUUGAGUUUGUCUGCUUGGGUGAAGGAGCCAACUUGGACUCACCCACCACUUUUAAGAACGAUCAUUUUUAAUAAUGUUAAUGAUAAAAAAAUUAAAUAAAAAAAAUAAAGACAAAAAAAAUACUUGUUUUAUUAAUUACUAUAUUUUGAAGGGACUUUAAAGACCGUUUAAAUAAGACUUUUGAUAUUAAUUUAAGAACAAUAAUCAAUCCAUUCUCUAAACCGUCCCAAUCAAAAUGCACCCCUUCAAUGACGUCCCUGUCCACUUCUAACUUAAAAACGAAAAGAACACACUCUAGCCAUCCAUUACUACUACAUAUUGUGGUCAAGGAAAGCCACUAGUUACCAUCUUCAUUUUGCGUUACUAGCUACCCAAUCAUUUAAAGACCAGUUAACACCACACAAAUCAUCCACAAUUUUCAGAAGGAUGUCUACCUAGUUUAUAAGCUUUGAAAAUAAGAAUGGUAAGGUCAAUACAUAAUUAGGUGAUGAUGAUUAGGGAGCACAUAUUCUUGUUGUAGUUAUAGUACUAUAAAUUUAUGGACGUGGAGAUCAAUAUCACCACCGCUCACCAACAAGCAAAUAAAAGUUUACAUUACUUUUGCUGAAAUGAAUUAUGCUAAAUUUACUAAAAAAAGUUAUGCUAAAUAUAGUUGCAACAACUAAAUUUAUAAAAAAUAAAUAAUACAUAUUCGAUUCGUUGAAAAUGAUUUAAAAUAACAUCAAUAUUAUUUUUUUAUGAACAUUUCUUUCUAUAAAAGUUACAGUACGGUCAUUUAACCACUGAUUACUAAUCUUAAUACAUAAUUGACUCCUUACAUAUUUUAUAUUUGAAAAAACACGUUCAACACUUACAGUUGUCAUCGGCAAAAUCAGAGGUAGCUUUAGAAGCUUGUAAGCCAUAUCAAACAUAAAGAAAUUAUUGUAAUUAUCUACUUUCACAAAUUCAAUAUAUCGUUCUACUCAAGUUCAUUUUAGAAGUAAUUGCCAUGCACCAAUUAAUUAUAUCAAUAUAUCAUUCUACACAAAUUACAAGCAUUACCAAAUGAACCCAAAAAUGGGUAGCUUUCUUUUUGGUCGAGCAAGAAGUGAAUUGCAAUUGUAAAAACAUGAAUUAAAAUCUCAAAGAUAACCUCACAAAUUGGCUGGAUAAUGACAGAGCAUCAUAUGUUAUUUUUGGUUAUGUGAUGAACGGAUUAGGAAAAUGUACUAAAUCAUUUACAAAGUAAUAAGUGAUCAGUAGAAUAUCGUAUCCACAAGGAUUGUCGUUGCGUUUAACCAAAUCAUUUACAAAGUAAUAAGUGAUCAGUAGAAUAUCGUAUCCGCGUUACUUAUUUGGGAACAAUAAAAUAAAUAAAGAGAUAAUGGUUUAGAGUUUUGCAAUUUAAUUUGUUUGCAACAGAGCAAAAUUUACCUGUUUUAUUGCAGAAUGUUAGCGGCGAUUCCUCUCUAUUUAUUUGUUGGAAUUAAAUAAAAGUCAAGUCAACUAAGUAGGCUAUUUAAGUGAUGAGUUUGUUGGGACGUGAUAACCUAAUCAGGUGUCAAAUUGCAACUGCUGGUCAUACAGUGAUACUUACAUGCGGAGUUUUACUCUCUCAGAGAUGUAGGACUAUCCCUUCGCCUGUCGAGUUGUACCUGUUGAUCACACUAAGGUUAUAUGCGCGCUACUGUAUAGGGUUAUCAAUUCUAUAGGAUCCGCCACCUUCGUAAGGAUUAUUAGUGUGGGGUCUUACUCGCUCAGAGGUAAUUGAAACAUAUACUUAAAUUAGAGUUCCUAAAUUUCCAAAGGUAUGACUUCCUAGUGUUCCUAAAGGUUCCCUCAUCUAAUUACUUCCUGGUUAGAUAGAUAUAAAUAUCAGUAUUAGGCCAUGUCACUACCUAAGUUCCUAAUUUAGAGUUAUGCUUCAGAAGAAACAAAUCUUACGCACUAUAAUAAAACUAAAUAGCAAACAGAAAAUAAUUGAAUAAAAGACUUUAAAUUAAAUAAUUAUCCAACAAACAAAGUAGAAGUUUAUCUUAGAACCAUAGCCUUAGAAGAUUUAGUUACCCAUGGUUGCAAGUUUAUCUUGGGCAUCUUCAAUAAUGAUGCAGAACGGAAGCAAGAAUUAGCAAGCGCUAAACCUAAAAGAUAAUCAGACAGGUUGCAAGCGACAAGUCUAUCAAAUAAGGGUUUUCGGAAUCCACCAGAAUUGAGAAAAAAGUCUCGAAUAUUUUUCUUAAAUAAAAAACUGUCUCUUAGGCUGCUGCAUAAGUUCUAUUUAAAUACUAAAAGAAAUAACAAACUCGUAUGGUCCGAAAAAUAACAAAACGAAAUAAAAUAAAAAAAUUUAGAAAAUGUUGAAAUAUUAAAAGGCGGUUUCGGGUCAUCAAACGACCUCGAAUGACUAAAAUAACUCAUACUUCAUGGCAAAGCGAUGAGUUCUGCUCGUGAGGUCCAAGGUUUUCCGAAAAGAUAUAAUUCUGAUCAAUCUGACACCGGAUGUAAAAUCUGCACAAUUCUGACUGAACCUUUCUUGCGCGCCACUUCGUCUUCGAUUCGUACUUGAGCUUGUCAACAUCAAACAACUAGUAUACAUACAACCAGACCAAUUUGUGCAUCAUCAUCCACACGCAUACUACACCACUACGUACUGCUAGCUUUCCGUUAGUUUAUCACUAGAGUUUAUCUAAAGUGUUUGGACUAAAAUGAUAUGACUAUCAUUAUCACUAGACAAAAACCAAAAAACAGCUACCAUUAUUUCUAGCAAUGAAGCAUUGACUUAUUCUCCAUUCCAUGUAUCUUCAUUUUUUCUCUCCUAUAUAUCACUCAACCCUCUCCAAUCUUUAAAACAAAUCUCUUUCUCUCUCUCUCUCAAUCUCUCUGUACAUAAGCAAAACAGCACUAAAAAAUUUCUUUUUAGUAGAAAAACAACACUCAAUUGCAAAACCAAAAAUGGGAAACUGCUUGAAGCACCAAUCAUCAACAAAGUACUUGACCAAGGACGAUGAUGAUGAAUGGGAUUUUUCAGCAUUCGAGGGUAACUCUGCGGGAAAAAGCAACGGUGCUGCUGCCAAAACAACUACUGAGGUGAAGAUAAAAAUCUCAAAGAAGCAAUUAGAAGAGUUGUUGAGCAAAGUGGACAUAAGGGAGUUGAGAGUGGAACAAGUUUUGGCCCAAUUGAUGAACCAUAGUAAUGGCUACGAAUCACUUCAGAGAUCUUGGAGACCUGCACUUCAGAGCAUCCCUGAACUUGAUUGAACUUCAUUUUGAUUAGCUUAAGUAUAUGAAGUUGAUGAGGCUGAGUAUUGACCAAUAGGGUCAAUCAUGCUUUUUGCUCAUUGAAAAAAUAAUAUAUUGAUAAAAAAAAAGUAUUUGAAAAACAAUUGUCCAUAUGAGGUGGUUUAUGACAUUCGUCUCCUUCGGCUUAUUCUAGCACUCAUCAAUAGCGCGCCUAUCCCAAAUAGAGAGAAAAUGAAGUUGCCAACAUUUUGGAGGUCAUAGAGAAGAUAAAGCUAUUGUUCUGGUCAUGGUUUAUAUGCGGGGAAGGAAGAAAUAAGAAUCUCUAUUUUUCAAAUUGGUGGAAUAUCUUCAAUGCAUGAGGAUGAUGGAUUUUAAUAUGUCAAUCAAUGCAAAGUGGAUUUUAAUUUGUCAAUCAAUCCAAAGUUGAAAGAGGAGACGAGCCUUUUUGUUGAAAUUUUCAGUAUGGUUGAUGCUUUUAUCUUGUAUCAGAUGGGGUUUGAGUUUGCCCUCAUAAGCUUAGCUCAGUUGACAGAGACAAUACAUAAUAUAUGCAAGGUCUGAGGUUCAAACCCCAGAUACCAAAAAAAAAAAAAGACGGGGUUGAGUUUGAGAGGAGUGGCUUGAACUGCAGUUGCAUCAAGUUUUAAUUGUGUUCUAAUUAGUUGGUGAUUUAAUCAUGCUCCAGUAUAUAUAUCUCUUUAGCAACUAUGCAUAUCUUGUGCUAUUAAUUUGUAGGACCGUGAGGAUAAUUUGACAUUUGGUUUAUUAGGAAAUUGUUCCUUUUACAAGUGUACUCAUACCAAGUCUAUACUUUGAAUGUUUGUCACUAGAUGUUUGUCCAGCAAGUCUUACACAUUAAAUUUUGCUUCUCAAUUCUCUCGCAAACUUGCUCAUGCAAAAUUUUGAUUUCAUUUUAAAGAUGAAGAGAACUUUGACUCAAGGUUUGAGUCUCUUCCAAUCCGAGGAGAACGUUGAAGAAUAAUAUGAAAUUUUCAAGAAAUGUACAUUUAUGGAACUUCCAAGAAACAACACUGAUGAAUACAUAACUAGGGAAAUUUUAAGAUCUCUAGAUUUUUCUAGGCCUGUAAACUAGAAUUUCAUCACCUUAUCUCUAGAUUUUUCUUAUGAUAUAUCCAUUGCUAGCAACAAAUUCCUCAGGACCUUAUCUCUAAAAUAUUAUUGAAUGAAUAAAAGUUGUCUCUUAAACUACAACCGUUAAGCUUAUAUAGCGAAAUAACAAAACCCUAAUGCGCCAAGAUUUUUUCAUGCAUGUUUGCAAGUUAGGAAAAGGAAAAAUCAAAUAAUAGCUCUAAAAACGUGAUUCUUGGAUAGAAGGAGUUGCUGAAAUCAAGAGGCAUUUCAAAAGCAUAUUCACAGAUACAGAUGAAUCUAGGCCAAGAUUGGAGGGACUUACAUUUCAACAACUAUGCUUGUCAGAUCUACGUUGUAGAUAGUAGUUUGAUGAGAAGGAGAUCAAAGAAACGGUAUGGAGUUGUAAUGGAGACAAGAGCCCAGUUCCCGAUGACUUCAAUUUAUACAUACAAUCUUGUGCAUACAAUCUCCUUAUACUAUAACUUGAGACAAUUUAUACAUGCACUUAACUCUAUGUGUAUUGAACAUUAACACACAACGCAUCAAUUGUUCUCUAGCACCUAACAAAAAACACACACUUUUAUAUUUCUCAUAUUUUCAGAUAGGGCUAAUAGUGUAUUGAAAAAAAAUGUUUCUGUUGGUCUUCAAAAAAUUAGGGUUAAUAAUAUAUUACCCCUCUGUAAUAUAGACGAUUUUCGGUUUUUCCCUGUAAAAAAUUUUGUUUAGAUUCCGUUCUUAUAAAAUAAAGAUUCUCCUAAAUAGCCCCUGACCCAUAUGAUUGUGCAAAAAUGAUGUGGCACGCGAACUGCAUAAUUAAUAUAUUUUUUAAGGAGAGUAUCUCAACAAAAAACUUUACGUGGGUAAAACCUGAAAUGGCCUAUAUUACAGGGGUAAAGGACUAUUAACCCAAAAAAUUAUAUAAUUUGGAUGAAUUAUACUUCGAUGUGUAUUUUAGAUUCUUUUAUUAGAAAUAUAUUAUGUUUUUCUGAAUUCAGAUUUUGUUGAUGUUGUUAUUGAUCAUUUCGAAGGGUUCUCUUCCUUGUUGUUUCACUUGUUUCUUCUGUGAUAUUUUUUGAGUGGUAAAUUUUAUCCCUUUGUGUUUUCUUGUCAAGAUUUUAAUUAGGUAGAUGCUAAGUUCCAUUGAUUUUAUCCCUUUGCUACUGUCCCUCCAAGAUCGUUUGUAUCUUUAUUUUUACCCUUAAUAAUAUUUUUUUAGUGUUAGAGUUGAUAGGUGAUGGCCAACAGGUGUCAACAUAGUUAGAUGUCUUGGUUUGUUGUCUUUGCAAACUUUUUCGAGUUUGUUUAUUUUAUAAAGAAAAUCUAUUACUUGAUUUGUCCGUAUUUAUGCGGAAAUAGAUUUGUACAAGAAACUCAUUUCAAAGUUCAUUUGAGUGCUUUAAGUUUUUUUCUUAAUCAUGAAUGCGAAGCAUUAUAUAUAUAUUUUGCCUUUUAUUAUCUGUGGGAAAUAUGGCGGCAAGGCUGAAACUUGUCUAGACAUCAAGCUUUUUGACAAGGUCCUGGUUUUUUUCGCCUAAAGAGAUGGAGUAUGCCGCAAGAGAUGCAAGUUUGUAUACAAUCUUUAUUUCGGAAUUGCAACAACCGGUUGACCCUGAAUCAUACAGUGAAGAUCUCAUUGGUUCAUGAGGAAAUUUCACAUACCAGUCACGAAGACAUUCCAACGGAUUUUGUUCUCUGGAUCAUGCUCAAAAGACAUAAUAGGAGGAAGCAGUUAGAUGGUAAAUCUCAACCAAAAUUCCAGGAGCGAAAAAAGACGGGUAGAUACGAAAGGAAAAAAGUAGGAGGUAAUUGCAAUUAAAUUUAUUAAUAUUGGUGAGGUCAUUAUACAUAAAGAUUCUAGGACUGGUGGUUCACGUGUUGCAUAACAAAUUCCACCAGGUGAGGGAGUCACAUCAAAGCUCAUUGGGUUUAAAGAGAAUGAUAGUUUGAAAAUCUUUGAAGUUUGUCUUAUCUCAAUCUAGGGUUCGUAAUAAAGUAGGCGGUUUAACUCCUCGGUUUGCGUUGAUUUAAGUCAUACAAAAAAUGAUGUUAUGUGUGGAUGACGAAAGAGUGAUUCCAAUGUUACUAGCUCGAUUAAAAUAUUAUCUCGAUCAAAGCCAUUACAAGGUGUCAAUAAUGAAUCAGUUCAUGUACAUUUACAUGCUGCAGAUUUAACGAAGAAUCGAGCAAAGAAACAAAUAGAGGAUCAACAUGGAUAAAUUAUUUUUCUGAUAUGUGUCGUUGGUUGUUGAAGUGCUGUAGUGACAAACAACGACUUUAUUCGAGAAUGUAGGAAUAACAUCAUUAUUUUUUGAGGAUCUUUUUUAAUCAUCUUUUUAUUUAUUUUGUCAUCUUUAUUCUACUGAUUUAGGUAUAUGUCACCCAACUUUUGUUUUUAUUUUUUCAUAAAUAAAUUUGGGAAUUUAUUUCAUUAUUUUAAUAUUUUCUGUAUUUAUAUUCAUAUAUACUGUACUAAUUGUUUAUUAAUAAUUUUAAUUUUGAAAGGGUCUUGGAUCCCAGCAGGUACAUACCUCAUACACAAUGGCCAUCAAUUAAAUUUUCUCGUUCUGCAUCUUCUGUUUUUUAGUAUAAGGUAUAAAAGUUCAAAGUCAAGUCAAAUAUGGAAAUUCAAAAUUGGCACAUUGAUAAAGAAUGAAAACAAUAACCUCAAAAAACGUUUCGGUACAAUUGAACAUUGUGACAAUUUGAUCUUCUUCUUUCUUUUUCUUUUAUUUUUUAUAUUGAUCUAGAUAAUGAUGACCGUAUAAGAGAGGAAAAAAUGGUAUGUUAUUAGUAAUAAUCCAUAAAACUGAAUUUCAACAUUUAUAAUAAUUGCAAUUAUCUAUCCAAUAAAAAUAAAAAUUCGACUACUUUGUUAUUUCAUAUUUCCAUUAUUAAUCUUUAGUCACACUAGACCUGACCCGUGCAUCGCAUUUCAUAUAUAAGCAUCAGGUUUACUGUAUUAUUAGUUGUCGACAUGUUUAAAUAUAUUAUGUUUAACAUUUCAAUAAAGACUACAAUGAAUAAAAUGCACCGAAGUUGAAAAUCGUCAUAUAAAAUCUAAACAAUGAGCAAAAUUUAAACAAUGAGCUAAUUAAAUAAUUCAAAAUACACAUCAAAGGAAAAAAGUUACUGUAUAAAGUUAGUAUGAAAAACAUAUCAAGUGAUUCAACCAUAUAAGCCUAUAAGGUCACCUACAUUUUCAUUUUUCAAGACAUAUGUCGUAGGAAAAAGGGGGAAGAAAAUGGUUGAAAACCGCAGACUUUUGGGCUUAGAUUGCGAUGGAGAAAGGAGAAAAAAGGGUUCGAAACCAUUUGGAAAAAAAGAAAAGGAAUUAAUUGGUUUUUUUUUGAAAAGGGAGUUUAAUAUUGGAUAUCAUGUAUGUAGUGGAAGCCAAAUGAUAUCACAAAAACAGCAACAUGGCAUGGGUUCGAAUCUCUGGAAAAAAAAUUGCAUAAAUAUUUUUCAGAACCCUAAAAAAAGGGCGGGAUUAGGGUUAAUCAGGGUUGCUUGCAAUACUGUUUAACAUUUAUAUAUAUUAAGAUUAAGAUAUGCAUUGAAUAAUUGUAGCACAUUGAAUUUCUUGAAUUUUACAUGGACUGCUUGACUAGAAUUAUUAAGAUUCAAAACAGCUAAAUCAUCUUUGAAAUCUGAAGCAACAUGUUCUAGAGUAGUGUUAUGCAUGAAAUAUUUUCCAACAUAAAUUUAUUACUUCAUUGAAUUAGUCAAAUCCUAUCUUAAUAAAUUUUCAUUAAAAACGUAUGCGUCCCUCUCAAAGCUGAAUUCUUUAGUUACUUUUCUUUUUGACAGAAGCUGAAUUCUUAGCUUCUAAUAAGUAUUAUUUAUUAAUAAAAUCAACAAUUUUAAUUUCUUACCAUGUAAUAGCCUAAUAGGUGUUUUGGACAGGUCAUGAGUUUUUUUUUCUCUUGAAGGAAUGGAUCAUCAUGAGUUAUGACUUAUGACGUAUAUAUUGGUGUUAAGGACAUGUCUUUAAGAAUGAUUCCUUGUAAGGAGGUUUUAUUUGAAGAUCUCUCAAUAUAAUCUUUCAGCAUUUUUGAAUUUUGAGUAUCUUGUUCUUUGGGUUAUAUAUACAUACUUAAAUAUGUUACUUUUAUUAAUUAAGCUUGGUUCAAUUAAUAAGCUAAUUCAAUUCAAUUAUUAAUAACAAGUCAGUAGAAUAAUUCAACCUCAAACCCCACCUUGUUUGAAAUGGUAUUAUAACAUUUGGCAGUUAGGCUAAAAUAUGGUUUUGCUUCCUGCAAAUAUACCUCGUUAUGGUUUUAGUUUCUGUAAAAAAAAAAAUUGUUGUUUUUGGUCCCUGCAAAAUAUUUUGUUUUUGGAAAUAGUCCCAGUGACUAUUUCCAAAAACAAAAUAUUUUGCAGGGACUAUUUCUCUAAUAAAUGGGUUCAGUCAUCAUGUGUCACGUAUGCAAAUCAUCACAAAAGUGGAGUCAGAGACCAAAACCAAAAUUAGGCAUAUUUGCAAGGACCAAAAACAACAACAAAAAUUUACAGGGACUAAAACUAAAACAAAGUAUAUUUGCAGGGACCAAAACCAUAUUUUAGCCUAACUCUUAUAUCAAUACCUCUAGAAAAAACUUAUAUUAAUUGAAGGAAAUAAUACCAUUCGGAUGUACUAAUCCAUUAAAUUUUUUGUAAUAAUUAUUUUUAAGAGAAUGUUAACCAUUGAUCUUGGGACAUUGGUUAAACAACUAAAAUAAGUAGGGUUUUUUUAACCUAUGCAACAUUACUUAAGAUAAGGUGCAAUAAAUGUACCAUUUUUUUCAACAAAAACUAUCAUAUUAACUAUCCUUUUUUGAAAAUGAUUUUUUUUUUUCUCUAUCUUAUAAAUCAUUAUAUUUUUAAUUUACUUCAUACUACAACAAUAAAUAUUACUUCUAUUAAUUAUUGAAAAAAAAUAUCCCUACUUUUCUAUUUCUCCACCAUUGUGAUAUAGCGAGUCAAAUGCCCAGAAGAUUAGAGUCAAAUGCCCAAAAAAAAUGUAACCCAACGACAAUGUAUUUUUAAAGCUGCAAAUACACCAUCUCUUGUGGCGGCACACAAUGACACAUGAUGAAAAACAAUAUGGUACCGGAAGUUGAAUCAACGGACAAAAACAUAGCCUUUAGGAAAAAUUGCAUAUUUUAAGCUGCGAAUAAGCCUCUCUUGUGUUGGGGAAAUGAAAAGAAAUUAUGUUUCAAGUAUUUGAUCUAAAUCAAUUUUUGUAAUACCCUUGUCUAAAAAAAUGUUAUUGCAUUUGAUGGAUAAUUUUAAAUGAAAUUACUGCGAGUAUUUUUUUAUUGUUGUAGUAUGAAGUAAAAAAAUAUGUAUAAUGAUUUAUAGGAUAGAGAAAAAAAACCAUUUUUCAAGAAAAGGAUCCUUAGUUACCACGAAGUGUUUCCUGAACACGUGCCAGACCAUUUAUAUCAAUUUGGCACUUUAGGAGGCUUCUCAAAAAACAACCGCUCCGCUUUUCAUCUUAUAUGGUUAUCUUGUGUGUGGGUGAUUUGACUUGAAAGGAAUGCUCGGAUUUUUCACCAAACAGAAGCUUCGAUUAAGCAAUUGCUAGAUAAAGUUAAGCUUCAAUCUUACUAGUGGCUGAAAGCAAAUCGUCCUAGUUUUGUUUUCUCCUACCAUUCUUGGUGGUUAAAUCUUUUACCUUGCUUGGGAAUUAUUAUGUAACAGGGUAGCUCUCUUUUUUGGUUUUUCAUAUUUUUGUUCCCCGUAUUUUUUUGAUUGUAUUUGAUACUCUUCCAGCUGGAUUUUUGGCACUCCUUGUGCUGAAAUCUUCAGGCGUUCAGUAAUAUAUUUCAUUUUACCUUCUUAAAAAAAAAAAAGGAUAAUUAAUAUGAUAGUUUUUGUUGAAAAAAUGAUACAUUUAUUGCACCUAUCCUAUGCAAUGUUGCAUAGGUUAGAAAAAAAACCCAAAUAAGUAAGUUUUUAAUAAAAAGUUAUGUAUCAUUACUUGGUCAAAUGUAGCAGCUUGCAUUUCCAAGAUAAAACUUCUACUUAUGGAUUCCUUAAUCAUUGCUCUUAGGGCACUGAUUAGCAAGACCCUUAUAUUUAUUUUCAUUCUGGUGUUCCUUACUUGUUUAUGAUGUAACUUGAGACAUGAAUGCAAUUCAAUUUCUCAUCCUUGAGGGAUAUUAGUAGGGUAAUAGGUAAGUACAUGAGAGUCGGGGAUGGAGAUGUGCAAGGUAAAAUCUGCCCCCCCCCCCCCCCUUAAAGGAAAGUGAACAUAUUGGUAGAUAAUGCAUUACAACAUUACCGUUGGGGCUGGAAAAUAAAAUGCAGGGAUUAGAUGAGACGCAUAUACCGAAACCUGAUUGUGAUCUGACAUCUUAUGAUACUUUAAAUUUACUUAUACCUGAAAAAAUAGAAUCAAUGUUGGGUGAGAUAUUGACUAUCUCAAUGAGCUUUCCAAGUGGGAGAAAACAAGACCUUGCCAUUGAACAAGAUUAUUAAUGAAAAUGUAAAUAUAAAUUGAAACUUAAAUAUGAACAAUUAGAAAUUCAUUAUUUAAUUAAAUUCAAAAUUAUAUAUAUAUAUAUAUAUAUAUAUAUAUAUAUAUAUAUAUAACAUAAUAAAAGCUAAUAAAUAAAUAUUGUAACACUGGUCCCCGUGAGCUUAGCUCAGUUGAUGGGGACAAAUGCAUAUUAUAUGCAGAGAUCGGGGUUCGAACCCCAGACACCCCACUUCUGUGAGCUCCAACCACUAGACUAUCUGACAAAAAAAAUAUUGUAACACUGAAUGUGGACUAUGUAUUGUAGUGGUAUGAUAAGUGCUCUACAAUAAACAUUAAGUGUCGGUAUUCUUUGGCUUUUGGCUUUUUUUUGAAGGGCCUGGUAUUAUUAUUUUUUAAUUUCAUACUUGAUAUAUGUGAAUAUGAAUUGCAUAUGAAUAAUCAUCUACCAAUAUGUUGGAGUAUUGUUUAGAUACUCGUCAAGUUUUAUUUUUAUAAGCACAAGUUUUAUUUUAGUACAAUCUAUGUUUUUCAUUACAAGAAAAAUAAAAAGGUGAAAAAUAAUAUUUUUUGUUGACAAAUAAAAAGGUUUUUGAAUUAAGCGAUUCGAGCAAGUGAGUUGAACCUAACAAGCCGAAUCGAGUGGUACGCGAACUUGAGCUAAGAAAAAAGUUCGUAUCGAACUCGAGUCGAGUUUCGAGCCGAACCAAUACUUAUCGAGUCGAGCCGAGCUCAAACACGUUGGACUCGACUCGACUCAUUUUCAGUCCUAGUGGGAAGACUCUGAUAACCUACACUAUUCUCAUAAAUUAUUUGGUAAGCCGGAGAUAGAUUAAAUCUAAUAAACAAUAUCUCUUUUACCCCUUCUUACACUUCCCAUUGUAGAUGGAAAAUCCACCUAGAUAUUCCCACUUAAUCCUAAACAUUUUUAUAAACAAGAACAAAAUAGCUUGUAAAUAAAUUCAAGUCAACUUCAAUGGAACAUUUAACAUUUAGAGGACAAGAAAUACAAGACUAACUUCCCUUAUCAUUCUCUUUAAUUAGUUCAACCAUUGGAAUUCAUACCAUUUUCUAAUCAUAUCAAUUCACAUGUACUUAAAUCAUAAUUCUUAUUCCAACAUGAUUCAUCAUUUCAAAAUUUGUUACAACAAUAUUGUAAGCUAACUGGAUUGUACUUAUUAAUUGAACUCUAAACAAAUCCACAAGUAUAUAUAACACAGUAUCGUAAGUUCAAUAACGACGUCAAAAUAGUGCAAUUUGGCACAAAAUAAUACAUACAAGCAGUUAAACUCAACUAUCACACAAUCCAACAUAUUUGAGCAUGCAACAAUAUUCACGUUCUUAAAUAUAUCAUGCAUACAUUAUGAAACCCUUUUUACUUUCAUAAGUUAAUUUCAAUAUCCCAUAAUCCCAAAAUUAAUGAUAUUUGCUCUCAAAGCUUGUUUCUUCCUCCAAUUUCUAGAUUUUUCCCAAAUUCUUCUCCUUUACCUACUUGAAACCCUAGACCCUUCUUGAUUCGCCUUAUUUCAGCACUCUUUUCUAUAAAUUGGUACUAGAUUUUCCAUUUAUCAAUUGCAUGUGGCUUUUUGUUGGGAAAAAAUUUAAACUUUGAUGAGAGUAUGGUGAUGUAAAGGUAAAAGUGAUGUUGUUGUUGAGACCGAGAGUGAGGCAGAGGGAGAAGGGGAAAAAUGAUAAAAAUUCUGGUAUUCCUUUGCUUUAAUCCUUUAUAUAGGUGUGUGGACCAAUUACCCUUUUUCCCUCACUUAGAAAAUUGAUCUUCUCCUAAGAGGAAUUGCUCACUCCCACGUGAACUUCCUAAAAUGCCCCCCCAGCCAAGUCACGUAGGUACAAAGUCAACGUGACUUAAGCCAUGUUUGUUUUAGGUAAGUUAAGUUUUCAUCAAUUUUAUACAAAGAUGCUAUUUUCUGAAGACUCCAAACAUACAAUGUGUUAUGUUCAUUUUUUAAAAGCAUGUCAUGUCUUAGAAUAAACAAUAACAACAAUUCCAUCCUGAUCCAAAAUAAUUCGUAACUAAAAUUAUUUAUUUAUUUAUAAUUUAUUCUCUGUUCAAAUAAACAAAGCGUUACGUUACAUUACAUUAUUUCUAAGGAUGUUGUAUUAUCAUGAUGUUGGAUUAAAAUUAAACACAACACAAAAAAUUUAGUAUUGAAAUUUCUUAUACUUAGUGUAAAAAUUUGCUAGUCUCUUUCAAAACACAAAAGAAUGAAGAGAACACAACACAUGUAUUCUACUGAAUCAACUAUAUAAGUUAUCACAUUGAAUCCCUUCAUAUAGGAUGAGUCGUCACAAAAAGGAUUGCAUUUCAAUAUAUUAUUUUGAACUUAAUCCUACUGCUCUGUCAACUAACAAGUUUUAAUUGACAAAGGGGCAUGAUCAAACACAAACAACAUCUUAGAAAUGCAUUCCCUUUUCUUACACUCAUCCUAUACGAAGGAAUUCGAUGUGAAAACUUAUAUAGUUGAUUCGGCAGAAUACAUGUUGUGUUCUCUUCAUUCUUGUGAGUUUUGAAAGAGACUUGCAAACCUUUACGCUAACUAUCACACACUUCAAUGCCAACAUCUUCAAAAAGCUAACAAGAGUUAAACUAAAAUCCAACAAAAUAAUGGCACAACAUAAUAAUACUACCUAAACUUAAUCAUCUGGCAUAAUCAAACUCUUGAAAAUAUCUUAAGGCGAUCUCAACAAUGUAGCAUCGAUCUCAAUCCUCGGGAACAUGUUGUGUUGACCAAAUAUCGAGAACAUGCUCCUCACAUCGUCGUUCGUUAACUGCUGCCGAUUGAACGUCAAUCUCCCCUAUGAGUCAAACGAUGGACGUUCAUACCAAACAUAUUUCACCCUCCAUAUUAUUGAAAAUAGAAAGUAAAAUACACAUAUAUAUUAUAAAUUUUGUAAAAAAAAAAAUGAAAAGAAACAAUGUAAGUAAGUUUGAUCAAAUGAUAUACUACCUCCGUUCCAAAAACAUGUCGCAUUUUUGCAAUAUGCAUAUUCAUAUGAUUUAUUUUUACCGUAUAUUUUAACAAUAUAUAGAUACAAAUGUUAAUUUGUAAGAUGUUGUUCGAUUUCUCUCGAUAAAUGUAUUCAAAAAUUUAAUUUUUAUAGGUGUUACUUUAAAUAAUUAAAAAUAUUAACAGAUAAAAUUGUGUAUUGAUAUAUGUAAAAUGGUCGACGGCAAUAUGUAUUUUAAAACAGGAAAAAGGUAUUUAAACAAACUCCAAUUGAGUCAACAAAAGUUACCCUAUAUAUUACACCAUGAGACUUGGUAAGUAACUAUCCAGUCAUAUUGAGUGUACGGUUGGUAAGAUAAAGGUCAAAAUUUAACAAAUUUAAUAAAAGCUAGGAAAACAUGUUGAGGAAAAAGUGAUAAACAUGCGCACAAUAUUUUCAUACCGAAUAACUGCACGUAUAAUAAAGUGAUUGAUGCCACUUAAUAUGCAGAUCAAUAGUCAAUCAAGUUGUGGACAAUCAAUUUAAACGAAAUUCAUGGGUCUGUAUUUAAAAAUAUUUUUAGAGGAGAGCAUUAUGAACUUUUAUUUCUCUCUCUAUAUAUAUAUAUAGACACACAUAUUUGUGCAAUAUUAUAAUUUUUCUUUCUUUUGCUUAAAAGCAAAUCUACAUGAUAAUUUUGGAUGGUAGGGUAAACUUUGUAGUGGCAACUAGUAGGGACUGCCCUGACAAGAGCAAAUUGGGAAUGGAGUUGAGUUUGUCUGCUUGGUUGAGGGAGCCAACUUGGACUCACCCACCAUUUUCAAAAGCACGAUAUAACAUAAUAGCCAUUAGUUCCCAUCACAUUAAAUUAACUAUAUAUCAGUGUUUUUUUUUUCUAACUAUAUAUCAGUGUUUUUUUUUUUCUAAGAUUGUUUGAUCGUUUAAAGAAACAUAUAUGGUUGUAUACCGUCAAAACUUAGCUAAUAUGCUUUACAAUUCAGUGAUAAUGCAGUCACUUUUAAGGAUAAGAAAAAAAUAUAUAAAUUUUCAAAUUCAGGGGGCAUUUUGCACAUAAGUACAAAAUUUCAGUGAGGUAUUUGGAAAAUGUCAUGUUAACUAACAGAAAAAUUUGACGGAGGGGGUAAAUUGAUCAACGUUGUGCAAUUUCAGGGGGGUAAUUGAAGUUUUGUUAAUUUCAGAGAAUAAUUGACGAAACUUAUAAUUUCAGGGGAUAAUUGACUAUUUACUCUAAAAAAACUCUCACUUGCCAUCCUUUACUACAUCUAGUGGUCAAUGAAAGUCACUACUACCCAAUUAUUCAAAGACAAAUCAUUACCCCUCUUAGUUUUAUGAAGGCCUACCUAGUUUGUAAGUAUUGAAAACAAGAACACUAUCUCCUCAAGAAAGAAAGAAAAAAAUAUCAUAUGGUCCGUACAUAAUUAGGUGGUGAUGAUGAUUAGGGAGCACAUAUUAUUGUAAUCGACGGCCAACAUUACCAUGAAUACAAUUAUUGUAGAGUACAACUUUUUUUAAGUUCUAGUUUCUUUUCCAUUAUUAUAACCACAAAUUACAUGAAAAAUUCAAUUAAAAAAGUAAUGAUAAAUUAUUCAAGAACAUCAAAACCCAUAUCCAAAAUUAAGUGCAACCAUGAAAUCAAUAUUUUUUCGAUGAUCAGAAUCAUCGGCGAAUAGGAACACCGACGGAAAACAUCGGCUAUGGGAACACCAACGACAAAAUUCGACUAUUGGAACAUCAACGACGAAAUAAGAGACGUCGUCUGAUCUUCUCAUCUCAUCGGAAAAGAGAUUCACAUCGUUAAGGUUUCCUUUCUCAACCACUUUCGAUCUUUCAGUCCUAAACGUCAUCGAUUGAUAAUCCUUUGUUUUGUCGAUGAGAGAGGGGGUGGAAAAAAUUGCCUGGGUCCAUGGGAAUGCGUUAGAGGAUGAAGAUGAGUAGCCACAAUUUAGGAAUGAAAUAAGGGAAUAAAAUCAAGCAUGUCAGUCACUAAAAUAAGAGAUUUAAUAUUUGCCAGUGAUUUUGAUCCAGUUGAUAAAAGACCCUCUCAUCUUCAUGUAAUAAAGAGUAUGUUAAAAUAUAUUUGUAUGAGUUUGUGUUGCUUUAAUAUGUUUUUUUUUUUCUUCUUUUAAUUAAUAACUAAUAGAUGGUAAAUGUCAUCCAACAAAAUUAAGCACAUUGUUUUUGGGUGAGGCAUGUGCACGUGAUUAUGAAUGAGUAAUGACCAAACAACAUCUACACUCAAAGAUCCCUUUCACUAGUUUGUGUUCACACAUAACUACUCUUGUGUCUUGAGAUUCCUAAUUAAACCCUUUUCACACCAUUCCACUACUAUAUCGGCUGCUGCCCUACCUUCAUAAAUUCUAACCUUAAAAACUCUUGAAAAUGUGAGUACGGUAAGAAAGGAAUAAUAAAGUUCAAAUCCCAACUCGAACAAUCUCUUAUCAUUACUUAUCUCUUAAUCGAACAUCGAAUAAAUGAAUAAUUAAACAUAAUAUAUGAAACAGGAUUAGAGAAAUGCUAACAUAUGCUUUAAGAGUAUAUGUUAAAGUAUUAAGGAUAGAAAUUAUAUGUUAGAAAUUGUGUUAAUUUAUUUAUCAUAAGAUUGAAAUUUAAUAUUUCAUAAUAAAUAUCUGCUCUUCGUGGAAACCUUCACAUAUGCCCUAAUAUCAUAUGUUAGCAUGACCCUUAUGAUUAAAUCCUAUGUAAUUGGUUUUUUGUUCAACCAGAUCCUAUAGAAUCAAUUUUGUACAAACUAGUAUACAUACUAUGAUCAAUUUGUGCAUAUUACAUAACUACUAGCUUUGCCGUGGUGAGUUUAUUAGUAGGAUUUAUCUAAAGUUUUUGGACUAAAAUUAUUUGACUAUCAUUAUCAUUAGACAAUAACCAAAGAACAGCUACCACCUCUAGCAUGGGCUCCACUUUCUCCACUACUUUCCACCUAAGAAAAUAAAAUAUUCAACUCUGACUCAUUCUCCAUUCCAUGCAUCUUCAUUUUUGUCUCUCCUAUAUAUCACCCAACUCUCUUCAAUCUUUAAAAGAAAUCUCCCUCUCUCUCUCUCUCUUUGCAAAACCUAAGCAACACUCAAUUAAAAAAGUUGCAAAUAAAAAAAAACUAUUUGCAAAACCAAAAAUGGGAAACUGCAUGAAGCAUCAAAAAUACGCGACGGACGACGAGGAUGAUUGGGAUUUUCAGGCAUCAGAAGGUGACUCUCCGGCCAAAAGCAACUACACCGGUGCCAAAGCAACGACUGAGGUGAAGAUCAAGAUUACAAAGAAGCAGUUAGAAGAGUUGUUAAGCAAAGUGGACAUAAAAGAGUUGAGAGUGGAACAAGUUUUAGCCCAAUUGAUGAACCAUAGUAAUGGCUACGAAUCACUUCAAAGAUCUUGGAGACCAGCACUUCAGAGCAUCCCUGAAGCUGAUUGAGCUUGAAUUAGAUUAGUUUAGGUAUAUGAAGUUGAUGAAGAUAAGUAUUGGCUUAUUGGGUCAAUCUUGCUUUUUCAUUUCAUUGAAAGAAAAAAAAUAGGGAAUUUGAGAAUUUGUAU